AAGCUCGCCGUCCCAGCAAUUAGUAUGAUACAGUACAUUGCAUCAACAAACUCAACAUGUUCGCUAAAAUUUUCGCCCUGUUCGCUCUGGUGGCGGUGGCCCUGGCCGCGCCCAAGCCGGCGCCGGCGCCGCAGCAGCUGCUGACGUACUCGUCGGGCCUGGACUACGUGUACCCGUCGGGCUACGCCGCGCCCGCCGUCGUCUCGCCCUACGCCGCCGCCCCGCUCGCCUACUCCGCCCUGCCCAAUGCUUACUACUACCGUUAAGACGAUGAGGAAUUCCCGAAAUGAUGUUACUCUGACGACCGCCAUUUGAUUUGAUUUUGAUUGGAUUUAAAUAAAGCAAGUUCGCAAAAAUAA